GGAGGAAUGGCAGAGUGGUCGAUUGCGGCAGUCUUGAAAACUGUUGACUGUAACAGGUCCUGGGGUUCGAAUCCCUAUUCCUCCG
rnacentral:tRNA from 5 species